AGGCAACAGCAGGGAAUCUUGCGCAAUGGGGGAAACCCUGACGCAGCAACGCCGCGUGGAGGACGAAGGUUUUCGGAUUGUAAACUCCUUAACUGGGGGAAGAGGAAGGGCGGUACCCCAGGACGAAGACACGGCUAACUACGUGCCAGCAGCCGCGGUAACACGUAGGUGUCGAGCGUUAUCCGGAAUUACUGGGCGUAAAGGGUGCGCAGGCGGCGGUGCAAGUCUGGCGUGAAAGCUCCUGGCUUAACUGGGAGAGGACGUUGGAAACUGCAUGGCUAGAGUGAAUGAGAGGGGGGCGGAAAUCCCGGUGUAGUGGUGGAAUGCGUAGAGAUCGGGAAGAACACCAGAGGCGAAGGCGGCCCCCUGGCCUUUGACUGACGCUGAGGAGCGAAAGCGUGGGUAGCGAACAGGAUUAGAUACCCUGGUAGUC
rnacentral:rRNA from 1 species